rnacentral:rRNA from 1 species
ACGAACGCUGGCGGCGCGCCUAACACAUGCAAGUCGAGCGAUGAAAUUUUAACCGAUCUCUUCGGAGAGAAGAUAAAAUGGAUUAGCGGCGGACGGGUGAGUAACACGUGAGAAACCUGCCUUUCACAAGGGGAUAGCCUCGGGAAACCGGGAUUAAUACCCUAUGACACAUUUCCUUCGCAUGGAAGAAAUGUUAAAACUCCGGUGGUGAAAGAUGGUCUCGCGCCUGAUUAGCUAGUUGGUGGGGUAACGGCCCACCAAGGCCAUGAUCAGUAACCGGCCUGAGAGGGUGAACGGUCACAUUGGAACUGAGACACGGUCCAAACUCCUACGGGAGGCAGCAGUGGGGAAUAUUGCACAAUGGAGGAAACUCUGAUGCAGCGACGCCACGUGAGCGAUGAAGGCUUUCGAGUCGUAAAGCUCUGUCCUAUGGGAAGAUAAUGACGGUACCAUAGGAGGAAGCCCCGGCUAACUACGUG